ensembl:snoRNA
GGAUGAUGAAACCAAACUCAAAACAGCUGGAAUUACCGUCAGAUUUAUCCAUGUUGAGUAAUAGUCUCUGAUC